rnacentral:rRNA from 1 species
UAACCUGCCCUAUACACAUGGAUAACAUACUGAAAAGUUUACUAAUACAUGAUAAUAUAUAUUUGCGGCAUCGCAGAUAUAUCAAAGUGUUAGCGGUAUAGGAUGGACCCGCGUCUGAUUAGCUAGUUGGUGAGAUAACUGCCCACCAAGGCGACGAUCAGUAGCCGACCUGAGAGGGUGAUCGGCCACAUUGGAACUGAGACACGGUCCAA